GAUGACCGCUGGCGGCGUGCUUAACACAUGCAAGUCGAACGAAGCACCUUGAUUUGAUUCUUCGGAUGAAGAUCUUGGUGACUGAGUGGCGGACGGGUGAGUAACGCGUGGGUAACCUGCCUCAUACGGGGGGAUAACAGUUAGAAAUGACUGCUAAUACCGCAUAAGACCACAGCACCGCAUGGUGUAGGGGUAAAAACUCCGGUGGUAUGAGAUGGACCCGCGUCUGAUUAGGUAGUUGGUGGGGUAACGGCCUACCAAGCCGACGAUCAGUAGCCGACCUGAGAGGGUGACCGGCCACAUUGGGACUGAGACACGGCCCAAACUCCUACGGGAGGCAGCAGUGGGGAAUAUUGCACAAUGGGGGAAACCCUGAUGCAGCGACGCCGCGUGAGCGAUGAAGUAUUUCGGUAUGUAAAGCUCUAUCAGCAGGGAAGAAAAUGACGGUACCUGACUAAGAAGCACCGGCUAAAUACGUGCCAGCAGCCGCGGUAAUACGUAUGGUGCAAGCGUUAUCCGGAUUUACUGGGUGUAAAGGGAGCGUAGACGGAGUGGCAAGUCUGAUGUGAAAACCCGGGGCUCAACCCCGGGACUGCAUUGGAAACUGUCAAUCUAGAGUACCGGAGAGGUAAGCGGAAUUCCUAGUGUAGCGGUGAAAUGCGUAGAUAUUAGGAGGAACACCAGUGGCGAAGGCGGCUUACUGGACGGUAACUGACGUUGAGGCUCGAAAGCGUGGGGAGCAAACAGGAUUAGAUACCCUGGUAGUCCACGCCGUAAACGAUGACUACUAGGUGUCGGGCAGCAAAGCUGUUCGGUGCCGCAGCAAACGCAAUAAGUAGUCCACCUGGGGAGUACGUUCGCAAGAAUGAAACUCAAAGGAAUUGCCGGGGGCCCGCACAAGCAGUGGAGUAUGUGGUUUAAUUCGAAGCAACGCGAAGAACCUUACCAGGUCUUGACAUCGUAUGCAUAGUCUAGAGAUAGAUGAAAUCCCUUCGGGGACAUAUAGACAGGUGGUGCAUGGUUGUCGUCAGCUCGUGUCGUGAGAUGUUGGGUUAAGUCCCGCAACGAGCGCAACCCUUACCAUUAGUUGCUACGCAAGAGCACUCUAAUGGGACUGCCGUUGACAAAACGGAGGAAGGUGGGGAUGACGUCAAAUCAUCAUGCCCCUUAUGACCUGGGCUACACACGUACUACAAUGGCAAUAAAACAGAGGGAAGCAAAACAGCGAUGUGGAGCAAAUCCCGAAAAAUUGUCUCAGUUCAGAUUGCAGGCUGAAACUCGCCUGCAUGAAGUCGGAAUUGCUAGUAAUCGCAGAUCAGCAUGCUGCGGUGAAUACGUUCCCGGGCCUUGCACA
rnacentral:rRNA from 1 species